AGUGAACGCUGGCGGUAGGCCUAACACAUGCAAGUCGAACGGCAGCACAGUAAGAGCUUGCUCUUACGGGUGGCGAGUGGCGGACGGGUGGGGAAUACAUCGGAAUCUACUUUUUCGUGGGGGAUAACGUAGGGAAACUUACGCUAAUACCGCAUACGACCUACGGGUGAAAGCAGGGGAGCUUCGGACCUUGCGCGAUUGAAUGAGCCGAUGUCGGAUUAGCGAGUUGGCGGGGUAAAGGCCCACCAAGGCGACGAUCCGUAGCUGGUCUGAGAGGAUGAUGAGCGACACUGGAACUGAGACACGGUCCAGACUCCUACGGGAGGCAGAAGUGGGGAAUAUUGGACGAUGGGCGCAAGCCUGAUCCAGCCAUACCGCGUGGGUGAAGAAGGCCUUCGGGUUGUAAAGCCCUUUUGUUGGGAAAGAAAAGCAGCAGGUUAAUCCCCCGCUGUUCUGACGGUACCCAAAGAAUAAGCACCGGCUAACUUCGUG
rnacentral:rRNA from 1 species